rnacentral:lncRNA from 1 species
UUAUCUCAUGAAAGUAGAUCCUAGGAAGCAUCUUACAUAAAUUCUGCUAAAGUUGAUAAAUCAUUAAAAGCUUAUCCGUUGGCGCCUUUUCUACAAGAUUAUUUUUGUUUGGAAAAAAUAAAAAAGGAGAAAAAAAUUGAUCCAGAGGUAAAUGUGGUUAUGACUUAUGAUGGUCAUGCUAACAGUGAGUUAGAAGCACUUGACGGCCAGUACUAACAAGUACAAAUUUCUGAAGGUUAACAAGUACAGAAAGAAUAGUAGCGCGAGCAAGUACAAAUUUCUGGAAGUUGGCACUUAAGGCAGAUUUUGCAGUUACAUGUCAUUCUUCGUAGACUGUAUUAUGUAUUAUCUAAUAACUAGAGUAUAUAUGGCUGAUGUAUGUGGUCUUUAUGCAAAUGCAUGUACGAAUCCAGCUUGAGGGCAUACAAAGUGUAAAAAGCAGAACAGAGAAAAACAGGGAAAAGAAAAAGGCAAAAAGCAUCAUUAUUGAUUCUUUAUUUCAAAUCACGAACCGCCUCAUAACAACUAUAAGACAUCCAGAAUCAUUCUAUGGAAAAGACCUCCAAUGUUAUCAUCCUAUCACUAUAUUCACGAGGAAAAGGUACUUUCAUACAAUGAACAGACAAUAGGCACAUUUCUUCCUCAAGUCUCCUAUUAACCGAACACAAAUCCAACCCCCCAAUCAACAAGCAUAUGAAGCAGGUAUCCACACUGCAUGUGGAAGUUAUCAUGCAUCGAUGAUCAAGUAGUUAUGCCAAUCUCUCUAAUGAGAGUCAUGACAGGCAGCAAUUUGUCCAAAAUGAUCAACCAAAUAAAUAACAGAUCUUUCUAGGAAUCUAAGGUAUGAAAUCAUGCAAGCAACAUUAGUUAAAACAGUCAAAAAGGAAUUCACCAUCAAGUCAUUCUUAAAAUUCUCAUCUUAUCCAAUGUAGAAGACAAUGAUGAUUUCUUUGAUAUUCAUUUUUAAAGAUUCUUCCAGGGCUAGGGGCACCAUAAUAUCACAUCCCCUCUCCACUCAAAGCACUGACUCAUCACUCAUCAGGGCCUUUCACCAAUGUUUCACUUCUUCACCACUCUC